rnacentral:lncRNA from 1 species
GGACGACCGAGAUUAAAAGGGAUAGAUCGGGAAGAACUGGCCCCAGUGCCUGCUCGUCUGAGGAUGAAUUUACAGAAGGAUGCUGCGGAGAUUCUUUUAAAUGGAGGGAAAGAGCAAGUCAUCCUCAAGAACAGACUCCGAGCGCCAUAGCUUCCGCAGAGUCAUUGGACAGAAACCAAAACGCGAAGAGCGCUCGAAAAUAGGAAUUAUCGCUGAAAUACACAUUUCAUUUCGAUGCUUUUCUUCGCUGUGCUAACGUGUCUUCGCGAUACAGAAGAGGAACGCUAUUGUGCAUCGGCGUUAAGCCGCGAAGGAGGGCGUAUUUGCAUAGACAAGAGGAGUCGCAGCAUCUGAGCUGUGGAAACAUUCCUGUUCUUCCAUCAGGAUAGUGCGUUAAUAAGUGCUCUUGUACUGCAAAGGUUUUGUUUUCUUUCCUUUUUUUUUCUUGAAAUGUGAUGCUCUCGUGAUGCUUCUAUUGCUCGUUCCUCCAACUAUAUCAAGGACAAAGAGCUCUUAUAUAAAGAUUGAAUGAAGAAA